GGCGAACGGGUGAGUAACGCGUGAGUAACCUGCCCUGGAGUGGGGGGACAACAGUUGGAAACGACUGCUAAUACCGCAUAAGCCCACGGAUCCGCAUGGAUCUGCGGGAAAAGGAUUUAUUCGCUUCAGGAUGGACUCGCGUCCAAUUAGCUAGUUGGUGAGGUAACGGCCCACCAAGCCUACGAUCGGUAGCCGGACUGAGAGGUUGAUCGGCCACAUUGGGACUGAGACACGGCCCAGACUCCUACGGGAGGCAGCAUG
rnacentral:rRNA from 1 species